rnacentral:pre_miRNA from 1 species
GAAGAGCUGGCCAAGACCUGGUCCCAGGAGAUUGAAGAGAACACCUCAGUGGUCCCCUCACAGUUUGCUGAGGUCGGAGCUGCUAAGAUAAUGCU